rnacentral:rRNA from 1 species
AGGGGGGAAUAUUGCACAAUGGGGGAAACCCUGAUGCAGCCAUGCCGCGUGUGUGAAGAAGGCCUUCAGGUUGUAAAGCACUUUCAGUAGGGAGGAAAGGUUGUAAGUUAAUACCUUGCAGCUGUGACGUUACCUACAGAAGAAGGACCGGCUAACUCCGUGCCAGCAGCCGCGGUAAUACGGAGGGUCCAAGCGUUAAUCGGAAUUACUGGGCGUAAAGCGUGCGCAGGCAGUUUGUUAAGCGAGAUGUGAAAGCCCCGGGCUCAACCUGGGAAUUGCAUUUCGAACUGGCAAACUAGAGUCUUGUAGAGGGGGGUAGAAUUCCAGGUGUAGCGGUGAAAUGCGUAGAGAUCUGGAGGAAUACCGGUGGCGAAGGCGGCCCCCUGGACAAAGACUGACGCUCAGGCACGAAAGCGUGGGGAGCAAACAGGAUUAGAUACCCUGGUAGUCCACGCCGUAAACGAUGUCUACUCGGAGUUUGGUGUCUUGAACACUGGGCUCUCAAGCUAACGCAUAAAGUAGACCGCCUGGGAGUACGGCCGCAAGGUUA